GAGCAAGCGUUGUUCGGAUUUACUGGGCGUAAAGGGCGCGUAGGCGGUCAGCACAAGUCAGUUGUGAAAUCUCCGGGCUUAACUCGGAAAGGUCAACUGAUACUGUGCGACUAGAGUGCGGAAGGGGCAACUGGAAUUCUCGGUGUAGCGGUGAAAUGCGUAGAUAUCGAGAGGAACACCUGCGGCGAAGGCGGGUUGCUGGGCCGACACUGACGCUGAGGCGCGAAAGCCAGGGGAGCGAACGGG
rnacentral:rRNA from 1 species